UACGGGGGGGGCAAGCGUUAUUCGGAAUUACUGGGCGUAAAGGGCGUGUAGGCGGCUUGAUAGGUCAAAGGUGAAAUCCCUCGGCUCAACCGAGGAACUGCCUUUGAAACCAUCUGGCUCGAGGCUGGGAGGGGGUAGCGGAAUUCCUGGUGUAGCGGUGAAAUGCGUAGAUAUCAGGAGGAACACCAGUGGCGAAGGCGGCUACCUGGACCAGUUCUGACGCUGAGGCGCGAAAGCGUGGGGAGCAAACAGG
rnacentral:rRNA from 1 species